AGAGUUUGAUCAUGGCUCAGGAUGAACGCUGGCGGCAUGCCUAAAACAUGCAAGUCGAGCGGUAAGGCCCCUUCGGGGGUACACGAGCGGCGGACGGGUGAGUAACGCGUGGGAAUCUACCCCAAACUGAGGGAUAAGCAUUGGAAACGAUGUCUAAUACCGCAUAUGGUCUUCGGAUUAAAGCUUCGGCGGUUUGGGAAGAGCCCGCGUAAGAUUAGCUAGUUGGUGAGGUAAAGGCUCACCAAGGCGACGAUCUUUAACUGGUUUGAGAGGAUGAUCAGUCACACUGGAACUGAGACACGGUCCAGACUCCUACGGGAGGCAGCAGUUAGGAAUUUUCCACAAUGGGCGAAAGCCUGAUGGAGCAAUGCCGCGUGCAGGAUGAAGGCCUUAGGGUUGUAAACUGCUUUUAUACGUGAAGAAUAUGACGGUAACGUAUGAAUAAGGAUCGGCUAACUCCGUG
rnacentral:rRNA from 1 species